rnacentral:rRNA from 1 species
GACGAACGCUGGCGGCGUGCUUAACACAUGCAAGUCGAACGGAAAGGCCUGCUUUCCCUUGUGGAUUGCGGGUACUCGAGUGGCGAACGGGUGAGUAACACGUGAGUGAUCUGCCCCCAACUUGGGUAUAAGCCUGGGAAACUGGGUCUAAUUCCCGAUAGGACUGCAGGGUGGUGCCUGUGGUGGAAAACGAUUUUCUAGUGGUUGGGGAUGAGCUCGCGGCCUAUCAGCUUGUUGGUGGGGUAACGGCCUACCAAGGCGGCGACGGGUAGCCGGCCUGAGAGGGUGGACGGACACAUUGGGACUGAGAUACGGCCCAGACUCCUACGGGAGGCAGCAGUGGGGAAUAUUGCACAAUGGGCGGAAGCCUGAUGCAGCGACGCCGCGUGGGGGAUGACGGCCUUCGGGUUGUAAACUCCUUUCGACCGCGAGGAAGCCACCUGGUUGGAAGGGUGGUGACGGUAGUGGUAGAAGAAGCACCGGCUAACUACGUG